AUUUAAUUCUUACAGCAAAAUGAUUAGCGGUUUUGAUAUGGCACCUCCUGCAUCUGCAAUGUUAAUUACUGCAGUAGCUUGUUUGGGAUGAUUAUUAUUAUGUCAAGAAUCCAAACAUAAACAUGUGACUCACCAUGACACAUGUAAAUCCAUUUAAUAAAUGCUUAAGUGUGCUUUUUAAUUGCUAUUUAAAAUGUUUAAAGUGAGUUAUGCUUGUAUCGUGCUGACAUGACACUACCUUUUUACUUAAAUGUAUCAUGUGUCACUUUCGAGUUAAAUGUAUGUCUCAUCAUUACUUAUGUUCAUGUUGCAUAUGUCGAAUGUUGGUUUGUCAUUUGAAUGUGUUCUAUCUAAAAAAAUUGUGUGACAUAAUUUCAAAUAGUGAAAGUGUUUGGUAAAGAUCAAACAUAGAAUGUGUAAAUGGAUGCUUAUUCCUGUGGUUGAGAAACUAACAAAUUAUUAUCCAUAAAUAUGACACAAUUAUGAUGAUGACUUUAGAAUCAGAACCGGAUGUUGUCAUUUUUUAUGAAGAUGGGAAACCUGAAGAGAGAGUUUCGUUAACCUUGGAAUGCCUUCCACAGUAUGAUCCUGCUAAAUAUUGGAAUGGGGAUACAAAUCAGACUUUCCGCUAUUGGAAGAUACGUGACUAUGCUCAUGCUUAUCGCUCAAGGAUUAGAACACCAUCUACAGUUACAGGCAUGUAAUCUCAGUUCUUGAGGAGUUUAGCAGCAAGAAACCUGUAAUUCCUAUGUUGAUUUCAUUUGAUGUAGAGGAAGUCAGGAAGCAAGCUGCAGCAUUGACAAAAAGAUUUGAGGAAGGCAAUCCAUUAUCUAUCUAGGAUGGAAUUUUUAUGGCAGUUAAGGAUGAUAUAGACUGUUAUCCUCAUCCAUCAAAUUGUAUUACUCUCUCCCAUUUGGCUUUCUGAUGAUUUUACUUCUUUCACUCUUUAAUAACAGACAGGUGGAUCAACAUGGAUGCAUGAGGGUCGCCCUGUCAAGAAGGAUGCAGUUAGUGUUUCAAAACUAUGUAGAUGCGGUGUAAGAUUAAUCUUCUGCUCCAAUUCAAAUAAAUCUUCUUAUGACGCCUUACAAAAUGGGAAAGUUCAAUCUUUCUCAUAGGUGACCAUCUUUCUUCUUUGAUUAGUAGGAAUCUCAUAUGGGUCUUGUUCAAUGUUUUUAUUUUCUGU